GUCCUCUGCCACGGCUUAAAACCAUGUUCUCUCGUCUUGCCACUUGUUACCCAGGAGCAGAGCCCAACUCACACCUGGCUGCACCAGAAAUAUCAAAUCUUCAUGCAAGAAUUGUUGACAUCAUGUACAAACUCAAAAUAAAACAAUAACUUCGUGUAGUAGAUGCUGUUUUUAAAAAAACAGUGUUUCCACUUUCAGAGAGUUCUUACCUUACAAAGAUGGGAGACAGAAGAGUAGAAAUUAAGACAGAGAGAUGGACGAUACAUAUCAUAAGUUUUCAUAUAGCACUAUGGAAAAGCAGCAGAAAGCCAAGCAGAUAAUGAAAGGCUGACACAAUGGGUUUGCAGCCCAAAGGCACAGCUUCAGGUUAUUUUUUUCUAUUAGUGCUUCUGUUCCACUGCUUUAAUUAAGUGUUGAGUACAAGUCACGCCUUGGGCUCUGCAGAUACACACCAGCACAGGAGGUUCCCAAAAAGGAUUUUGUCUCAAGGAGGUUGGAUCCUGUUGCAUUCUUCUGGGGAUCCACUGAAGAGAGGAAUGGUCCCUCCAAACAUGCCAGUGGUGAACAAGUCAUCUCCCACAAAGCCAUCCUAUGCAGCACAUCCAGGAGGAGCAACAGGAUGGGGAAUAAUGGACCCAAAGCCUCCUAAAGGCAAAGAUCACGAGCUGUUGAAUGCCUUAAUAUUACUGACUGAUUAAGACUGUACCACGACAGUCCACAAACCAAGUGAAGGCCAAGGAGAUGGAAAAUCCCUCUGACCUAAUUGCAGGCUUCAGCAGUGGCAAAAGCUCAACAGUCACAUCCCAAUAAAACAAAAGCUGGCCAGAAAUGGACUUUCCCAGCUUGGCACUUGUCUUAGAAUCACACCCAAGAGACAACACUAUUUAUUUCUGUUCAUUUUCUUACAGUUUCUAGUUUGGCACUUUACUUGCAGGUAAAGUCACGUUGCGGGUGAUUUUUCUCUGAAGUACUUCUCUUGUAAAGUGAGCUUUACAAGUGAGUGAAGAUAUUAAAUAUUUGUCUACAGGAAAGAAAGGCUUUCACAAGUAAACCUAACUUACAGUAUAAUCUUCAUCCAAUAAAGCUGUAUUAGAUCAAACAGUA